rnacentral:rRNA from 1 species
AUUCCUAGUGUAGAGGUGAAUUCGUAGAUAUUAGGAGGAACACCAGUGGCGAAGGCGACUCUCUGGGCCAAUACUGACGCUGAGGUUCGAAAGCAUGGGUAGCGAACAGGAUUAGAUACCCUGGUAGUCCAUGCAGUAAACGAUGAGUGCUAGAUGUUGGGAAUUUAAAUUUCCAGUAUCGCAGUUAACGCGUUAAGCACUCCGCCUGGGAAGUACGGCCGCAAGGCUAAAACUCAAAUGAAUUGACGGGGACCCGCACAAGCGGUGGAUCAUGUGGUUUAAUUCGAAGAUACGCGAAGAACCUUACCGGCCCUUGACAUACCAAUCGCGGACUUAAGAGAUUAAGUCUUUCACUUCGGGUGGAUUGGAUACAGGUGCUGCAUGGCUGUCGUCAGCUCGUGUCGUGAGAUGUUGGGUUAAGUCCCGCAACGAGCGCAACCCUUACCUUCAAUUGCCAGCACAUUAUGGUGGGAACUUUGAAGGAACUGCCGGUGAUAAGCCGGAGGAAGGUGGGGAUGACGUCAAGUCCUCAUGGCCCUUACGGGCCGGGCUACACACGUGAUACAAUGGUAACUACAAAGGGCAGCGAAGGAGCGAUCUGGAGCAAAUCUCAAAAAGUUACCUCAGUUCGGAUUGCACUCUGCAACUCGAGUGCAUGAAGUUGGAAUCGCUAGUAAUCGUAGAUCAGCGCGCUACGGUGAAUACGUUCCCGGGUCUUGUACACACCGCCCGUCACACCAUGGGAGUUGGUUUUACCUGAAGCUGGUUCGCUAACCGUAAGGAGGCAGCCAACCACGGUAAGAUUAGCGACUGGGGUGAAGUCGUAACAAGGUAACCGUAGGGGAACCUGCGGUUG